rnacentral:sRNA from 1 species
UGGAUACAUGCGUUUAUUCGUUUGGCUUCUAUACAUUCUCCUUUUCCUAACCUUAGAAUGACUGAGGAAAGAUCAAUCCACCCUAAAUAUUUUAACUAUUGGUGUAGUCUCCCUCAUGGUAUACUUGAGCUGAUUGCUGAAAAACUGACCAUUGUUGAUUGCUUAUCGAUGAGCAAAGUUUGUAUGAGUUGGAAUGGCUAUUCUUGGAGAAGAA